GAUGAACGCUGGCGGCGUGCCUAAUACAUGCAAGUCGAGCGAACGGACGAGAAGCUUGCUUUUCUGAUGUUAGCGGCGGACGGGGGAGUAAUACGUGGAUAACCUACCUAUAAGACUGGGAUAACUUCGGGAAACCGGGGCUAAGACCGGAUAAUAUUUUGAAACGCAUGGUUAAAAAGUUAAAGAGGGCCUUCCUGACACGUAUAGAUGGAUACCAGCUGCAUUAGCUAGUUGGUAAGGUAACGGCGUACCAAGGCAACGAUGCAUAGCGGAACUGAGAGGAUGAUCGGCAUCACUAGAUCUAAGACACGGUCCAGACUUCUACGGGACGCGGCGAUAGGGAAUCUUUCGCAAUGGGGGUAAUCCUGACGGUGCAACGACGCGUGAGUGAUGAAGGUCUUCUGAUCGUAAAACACUGUUAUUACGGAAGAACAGAAGUGUACGAAACUGUGCACAUAUUGACGGUACCGAAUCAGAAGGACACGGGUAACUACGUG
rnacentral:rRNA from 1 species